AAUUGAAGAGUUUGAUCAUGGCUCAGAUUGAACGCUGGCGGCAGGCCUAACACAUGCAAGUCGAGCGGCAGCACAGAGGAACUUGUUCCUUGGGUGGCGAGCGGCGGACGGGUGAGUAAUGCCUGGGAAAUUGCCCGGUAGAGGGGGAUAACCAUUGGAAACGAUGGCUAAUACCGCAUAACCUCGCAAGAGCAAAGCAGGGGACCUUCGGGCCUUGCGCUACCGGAUAUGCCCAGGUGGGAUUAGCUAGUUGGUGAGGUAAGGGCUCACCAAGGCGACGAUCCCUAGCUGGUCUGAGA
rnacentral:rRNA from 1 species